CGAGAGAGCGCCACUGCACUGCAGCCUGGGUGACAGAGCGAGAGAGACUCAGUCCAAAAAAAAGAAAAGAAGAAAAAAAAAAACAAAACAGACCCAAAUAUUGCAUUGUCGCUGAACUUUCCCCCGAAAGGCCAGAAACCCCCUGACUCAGAGAUGCUCAUUUCAACAACCAGACAGUGGAUGUGACAGGAGAAGUGUCAAGGCCAGGAGUUUGAGACCAGCGUGAGC
rnacentral:lncRNA from 10 species